AAAACGACUGCAAGGCCCUAGCUUACGUGUGUUGUGACAUGCCUGCUUACCAAGCCAGCAAGCUGCUGGCUUAGAGAUAGGCUGGCAGCCAUUCAUACCUGUCAACCAAAUCAGUACGCAGUGGAUACAACCUUUCUCACCAUCAGGAAAAACAAGAACGAAAAACACUUGAACAUCACUGUUUUCCAGAAAGUAGGGUGUGACCUCUUUUCGGCAGAUGGGGUGAAAACACACGAGUGGACCAGCAGCUCCCUCCACAAAUAAAGAGUCUGGGAAUGCAGGGCCACUCGUGGGCAGCAGCUUCUUGUCCAGUCGUCACCAAUAAAGAGAAUCCCCACCAUGGUCCUAGUGCCAAGGUGGCCACUGAGUGCAACAGGUGGAAGAAAACGGAAUCGUGAAUGAGAAAACGUGUUCUACUCCCAACUGCUACCUUUCAACCCCAGGCAGUGCUGACAUGAAAAAUGGCAUAUAAUGAGCUCUUCUACAGAGCAGGUAAAUAAGCAGCGAUCAAGACUGCUCACGUAAAAAAAUAAAAAUCCUUCCUUUUCAAUUCCAAUAAAACAAAACUCAACU
rnacentral:antisense_RNA from 1 species